UCUUAUAUAGAUUUCUUCAUUUUUACAAAGCAAGUAUAUUUUAGGAAGAAAAAAUGGGAACUCAACAGUUUUGUCUCAGGUGGAACCACCAUCAAAACAAUAUGAUGGCAGUAUUUGAACAAUUAUUAUCCAAUGAAGCAUUAGUUGAUGUAACGCUUGCUUGUGAAGGUUUAAGUUUAAAAGCACAUAAGACCAUCCUUUCAGCAUGUAGUCCAUUUUUUCAGAGUCUUUUCCUAGAGAAUCCAUGCAAACAUCCAAUUGUUAUAUUAAAGGAUAUCAAAUAUUGUGAUCUGAAAGCUAUUGUAGAAUUUAUGUAUCGUGGUGAAGUAAAUGUUACUCAGGAUCAGUUGUCAGCAUUGUUAAAAAUUGCAGAGACAUUACAAGUGAAAGGAUUAGCAGAAAUUGCAAAUUCAAAUCAGCAAACUGAAGAUACAUUAAUGGAUACUAUUUCACCUCAUCAAUUUUCCAAUAUACCACCUUCUGAACCACCUGUUCAACCAAAAAGAACUUUACCACAAUCAAAUAAUAAAAGACGAGUAAGAAAUCGGAAAAGAUCUAAUAGUGGAUCUGUACAAAAUGAAAAUAUUGAUUGUGGUUCAACAAGAAUAAAGGAACAACCUGAUUCUCCUGAAAUAAUAGAUGAUCCAGCUGCAGAUAUUCUUUCAGACACUUCAUCCCAAGAAAACACUUCAUUAGAUAUUUCUCAACAACCUGUACAUUCCCAUUGUUCAAGUUUUGAUAAUGUGAACAGAGAACAAAUAUUACCAGUAGAAAAUUCACAUUUGACUUCUCUUCAGACAGAUUAUUGUAGAAAUCCUAAGUUGUCUAAAGGUGAUGUUUAUGAUAUGGAGCCGUACAAACUUAUGGAACAAUCUAUGACCACAGAAAGUGUCCCAUUAUUAACGCAAGAACAGUUAUCUUCUCCUAUUUUGAAUCAAAUGACUGCCUCGACUUCAAGUCAUGAACAAAGUAUAAGUUCCUUACAAACUAAUAUUCAAUCUAAAUGCCAAUCUAUAGGUUCUGUUAGUUCUACUCCAUCUCAGCCUACGUUUAAUAACGAAAUUAGUCAAGGUCAUGUGAUCUACCGGCAACAACAGUUUCAACAGUCAAACAGAUAUCCAAUAUUGAUGGAAAUAUUGUCAAGCUCUGAGACACGAGAACAACUUUACCGUCAUAAAUCUCAAAACGCUUACAGAAGAAAUCUAAAACAAAAAGAAAUACUUCAGAAAAAACUUCAUUUCGUGGAUGUAUCAAAAAUAAAGCUAAAAACAGUUUAAUAAAGAAAAGAUAUAUGGAAGAACAGUAUGAAAAAGUUUUAAGUGAUGAACAGAGGGCACAUCAAAGAGAACUAGCAAGGCAAAGGAUGAGAAGAUACAGAGAACGAUUAAAGUCAAGAAUUGUGAAAAAAUAACAAUGGUUAUAUGACUAUUUUAAUAAAUAGUUCAGGUGAAGUUGAAAAUCAGUUGCUAAUGUCAAGUGAUAUAAUGUUUAAAUCUCCUAUAAAAUGUUUCCAAGAGAAGACAAACAAUGAUGUGUCUCAUCAGCAAAUUGCUACUUUGUCAUCAUUACCAGGACAUAUGAAUUCAUAUUAUCAGUCAGUAUGGACUGACAGAUCUCAAAAUGAUAAUACUAAACAAGCAGUUCAGGCUGUAUUAACAGGAAAAUGGACAUUAAGGAAAGCUUCAGAUUAUUACAAAAUACCACUUACUACCUUAUGGAAGCGCGUACAGUGUGCAAAGAAUAAGACAUUAACAGUGAGUGAAGUCCCCCAAACUUCAUGAUGAAAAAUAUUGCAACCACAAAAAGUUGAAGAAUGGAAUGGAACAUAACGGAGUUUUGAAUAUCUGAAGAAAAUUUUAGAAUAAAUUAAUGUAAGGAACAAAAUAGAAAAUUAAGAAUUGAAAGCAGAUAUGAAAAUACAACUUAUUA
rnacentral:misc_RNA from 1 species